rnacentral:rRNA from 1 species
AUUGAACGCUGGCGGCAUGCCUAACACAUGCAAGUCGAACGAGUGGCGGACGGGUGAGUAAUGCAUGGGCAUCUGGCUUAUGGAGGGGGAUAACUACGGGAAACUUUGGCUACUACCGCGUACCAUAGGUUGAGCCCAAGUGGGAUUAGGUAGUGGGUGAGGUAAAGGCUCACCAAGCCGACGAUCCCUAGCUGGUCUGAGAGGAUGACCAGCCACACUGGGACUGAGACACGGCCCAGACUCCUACGGGAGGCAGCAGUGGGGAAUAUUGCACAAUGGGCGCAAGUCUGAUGCAGCAAUGCCGCGUGUAUGAAGAAGGCCUUCGGGUUGUAAAGUUCUGUCGGUAGCGAGGCGUUAACUAAAGAAGAAGCACCGGCUAACUCCGUGCCAGCAGCCGCGGUAAUAC